CGGCACUUAAGAAAUAUAACAGUAAACUGUCCAAAAUGUCAAUGCAUAUCCAAAACCGACUAAACUGAAUACAGAUUUUGACUAGAUGAGAAGUGCUAAUAUUAAUCUGCUCAUACCAGGUAUUAUUCCAUGGUCAGUUACAAAGUUCACCCCUUUUUUUAACAUUUGGUGCCUGUUUUCCUGCAACUGCCUUCAUGUCAGCCACUUACUAUAACAAGGUAAAAUCUGUGUCCGUUCAUCACAUCCUGCUGGAGUGGAAAGUGUGUUAGAAGUUUAAAGGAUGACGGUAUGGUGGUUUAUACUCCAGGGCCGAGUGCAGUGAGACCAUUUCGUGUGUGCUGGUCUCUCUUGGUUACACUGCCACUGGUAGCUGCUCUGCUGAGUGCCAUCGCUGUGCAUUGUCUCCAUCGGUGUGGAGAUGGCAGAGUUUUUAACUGCAGCUGCUGCUUGAGACGGAUGGAGACCAUGAAGACCGUGGACCUUCAGUACGCCAGCCUUCAGCUUUCAAGCAAAACACGGCCUCCUGUUCAGACAACAUGCUCAACCCCAGCGGCAGAUGCUGUCAUCUACAGCUCCGUGGCUAACCGUGGUACGGCUAAUAACCGCCCCUAAUUCCCUAAGAGUGACGAGGCUGCCGUAACCCCCAGAAGCGAUUCGUGAUGUGCUCAGAGCUGUGUUCCAUGACACUUCUGAAGUGUUAAACAACACGGUACCUGCUGUCAUAAUGUUCAAGUAAGGAACCGGCUAUCGCAGAGACUAAAUAAAUCUUCAUUUUCUGUAGCUCUGAAGUAACUU
rnacentral:lncRNA from 1 species